UAACAAUCAUAAUUUUUAGCCAUUGUAUUUUUCAUUGAAAAGGCUCCUGCCUUUUGUACCACUGUUGAUUUGGCUAAUGCCUAGGAUGAUUAUGACAGGUCCUUUUAAAACACUUCAUCGGCUAGUAAUUCUAUCAAACAAAAGAUGCAAAUGGAUGGAGAAAGGAUUGCAACAAUGUCAGUUCAACAAAGUAAUAAGUUCAAUAAGAAGCAUCGUGAAAUGCGUCAACGAAAUAAGGGACAAAAUGUGAUGCCCAAUUGUGUUAGGAGAUGGAAACAAAAAAGAAAACAUGGAUCCAGAUGAUGAUAGCGACUGGCUGCAUAGGAAUGAGGGUUUUCAGGCAAACGACAUUGUCGCAACGACAGAUCUUCUAACACCAG